rnacentral:rRNA from 1 species
UAGUGCCAGCCGCCGCGGUAAUACAGAGAGUGCAAGCGUUAAUCGGAAUCACUGGGCGUAAAGCGCACGUAGGUGGAUAUUUAAGUCGAAUGUGAAAGCCCCAGGCUUAACCUGGGAAUUGCACCCGAUACUGGGUAUCUCGAGUAUGGUAGAGGGAAGUGGAAUUUCCGGUGUAGCGGUGAAAUGCGUAGAUAUCGGAAAGAACACCAGUGGCGAAGGCGGCUUCCUGGACCAAUACUGACACUGAGGUGCGAAAGCGUGGGGAGCAAACAGGAUUAGAAACCCUGGUAGUCCUA